UGACCGCCCUGCCCGGGGGGGUGGCGGGUGGCACUUGGCGGGGUCCCUCCGCUCCUGCUUUUCCCUGCGGACACUCUUGAAGGAGCCGCAGUUCUUGGCUGGCACCUCUCAGGUACCUGGCGGAGUGACCCAGGACAGCGGUGAUUUACGCCCCACUGACCCCCAGGAGCUUAAUUCACCUCUUUACAGGGGUGCUUAGUGACAGGAAUGCACAUCUGCUUGGGAGCCCCCUGCAAAGUGUCCACCCAAAAACAUUCUGAACCGUCAAACACAGCUACUCACCAGAUAGUGCUGUUUGAAGCUUAGGACUUUUAAACAGUGAUUUUGAAUGGAAUAUGUAUUUGUGUGUCUUUUUAAUAUAACUCUCAUUAUUCUGUGAUAAAUGAUACUCGGAUGUUCUGCAGCAACAGGAAAUUCAGUGUGUGGGUACCCAUUAAAGGGUACAAGUGAAUUCACAGUGCAAGUGAAUGCAUCCAAGAGCCAGGGCAGCUUGAUAAGUGAUGCUGUAACAAUUGUCAGGCCUCCAGGAGCCAAACCUGUGUGGAUUGGCAGUUGAUCAGGAAGGGUCAGCCAGGACUGUGCAUGGACUUAAAUGCUGGAACUGCCAGUUAAAGUCACUACUGCAUAAUAAGAAGCUGAAACCAAGAGAACAAAUGACCUUCAGAGUGGGAAGGCAAAAGAAAGCAGAGAAGUUUUUCAAGAUGUUCAAGUUCAGAAUAAAGGCAUUAUGGAGUAUAUAAAUUUUAAAUACACUGCUUUUUGCCUCAAGGCUUAAAGCUUUUUUUUUUCCAGAUGAACUGAAAUCUUGUCUGCAACUGUCCUUGUUACAUCAAAGGACUGCCUGGAAAGCUAAAAGAGAUGGAAGAAGUAUAAAAGGGCAUAUUUUAAAAUGAUUAGUGACAAAUUUCAUACCGCAGAGGUAGAAGUAAAUUUUUUUGAGUUUUAUGUUUUUCGAAAAGGAAUAAAUGUACUCUAUUUGUCUUGUCCUAAACUGCUUUGGUGGAAGUUGUAAAAAAAAUAGUAUCCUAGUCAGUGCUUCACAUUAAUUUGAAGUUGGCAAGCAGUAAAAAAAUCUGGAAAACAAAUUUCUUUAGAAUUAAUGUAAUUAGGUAAAUGACUUGAAGUGAUGCAGAGGUUGUAAAACUGCAAAAUUCUGGGAGAAAAUCUUCUGCAUGACAUUCUUGGCUAUCUGUUUUUCUUCUCAAUGAGUGCUAUUUCUGAUGAGGUGGCAGGUAGAAGACCCAUUAUUUUAGGAUUGCUUUGUAAUAAGGGCUGGUAAGCUAGCAGAAAAUACAUUUGCAAUCACUGCUGAUAAUACUCUGGUUCAAUCCAUUUGUUGCCUUCCUCUGACCAUCAAAACCCUAGUAUGGAGGGGAAUGAGAGGUUCUCUGUACAUAAAAGAGAAAGAUUAUGUUGAAAAAUUAGGGGCAAAGAGAGAUAGCAGAGAAAGACAGGCUGCUGCUCAGAUGGAAGCAGGAAGGUGAGGUUCAAUCAUCACCUACAAGGAACAGAAAAGGACUGGAUUCCCAAGUCAUAACAGGACAUCUAUCUAACUUCAUAAUAAUAUAAUCUCUAAUUCUGAUGAAGAGCAGGAAAUGUUUUAAACAAAGUUCUUAAAUGAAAAAUCACGACCAUUUCUUUUCUAGAGGCAGUUUAAGGAGACAGCAGGAUAGAUCAGGGAGGAGGAAAGAGCUCUCCUACAUCUCUCAUCAAUGACCCAGCUCAUUAAAUAGUGUCAGUGACAAGCUGUGUAUUUUCCAUUCCUGUUCCUUUUGUCCAGAAAGAUGAUUUCAUGGGGAUAUAAGGAUAGGAUUGCAAAAGUGCUUGUGUGGAAAAUUGGGAGUUGUUCUAAUGACACAAUAAUUCUUCUCUAAGCUUUGCAGUAUUGUCAUUUUCACUAGUGCUACUUUCUUCUUUUCUUCCCCUCUCCCAGGCUGUUCAGCACAUCUUUCAGUGAGCUCACACUGUGCCUGUUCUUGGUUUUGGGUGGGUGUUCUGGAUGGCAAGAGAUGAGAGAAGUCUCCUUCCUGAACAGUUGUGUCUUCAGACUCUGGCAAUGGGAGGCACAGAGGUGCCCUCUUUGCUGCUCCCUUUCCUAAACUGCAGCCAACUGGGGCUCAGCCUGACCCCACACAUCAUAAAGGGCCACCUCAAGGUUGCUUUAAAUUGGGGCUUAAUGUGAGUCCCUGCUCAUCAAACUGUGGAGUUUUCCCAGCAGGCAGUGACACUCCAACUGUGUCCUUCUCUUCCGAUUCCCUCCUUCCCUUUGCCUCCACCCCCUGUGCUUUUGGGGCUGGGCCCCCAGCUCCAGCUGGGCCCUUUCCAUGCUGCAGACAUGUGGCACCUGCAUUGAUCAGCUUUGGGGUUGCUUUCUGUCUUCUGGAGCUGCAGGAGACAGUUGGGACACCAAGAUCCAAACAGCAGUUGGAGUUGCCUGGGAGAACAUGGAUGGUUUUGCCUGCUUAGGGAGAGCCAGUACUGUAAUUAAAGUCAACAUUAUUUAUGUGACAAGUUGAAUUCCUCCUGUUGAAGGAAUUCUACGAUAAAAGGACAUUGAAAUUCCUGGUGAAAACCUACAGGAGACAUUUGAAAAAUCGCACUGUGAAUUUUCUCUUUCGAACCAUUUUCCAGAUACAUGUAAGUACUAGGAAUUGGAUCCAUUUUUAUAUUACUUUACUGCUAUGACUUGCACUGCUUUUCUAAAAAGCUCACUUUGUAAUAUUUUUUAUUUUUGACAAUUCCUGCCCCUACAGUUUUCAGAAUAAAAUGGGAUUUUCAUUAACUGUCAGCAAAGGCAAAUGUCUGUGAAUUGUUUGUUUGUUGGUUGAAGUUUUUUUUGUCAUGUCAUUCUGUAUUUUCUGCAGUUGAAGCAUCUGGAUUAUAGAAGUUAACCUGGUCAUCAUAAAGCACUUGAGUGAAGGGACAGGGUUUGAAGGUUUGAGCCACUUUGCACAGUUGAGGAAGCUUUGAAGUUCUUCUGCUUGCAAUGAACUCUGUGUUCCUCCAGCAAAGUUCUGUCACCCUCUUACAUUUUCGUCACCUUUCCAUAUUAGGGGAAAAAAAAAAAUCUUAAGUGGGGGAAAAUGAAAGUUCUUUUAAGAUCUUGCUGAGGCUGAAAUGUAGAGGGAAUCAAAUCACUGCUUUGUUCCUGUCUUUAGCUGGGGACAAAACCAGAGAUGAUCUUUCUUAAACAUGAUAGCCAUAAAAGUGCUUUUGCUUUCUUUGCUGGUUCUACUUACAGUUAAAAAUUACUCUGUGGGAUUUUUCUCUGUAGUUUUGAAAAGGUCUGAAGUUGAAUUUUAAAAAUCUGAAAUUUUGUAUCUGAAUUCUUUAAACCCUUUGCAUAAUUAAAAUAUUUUUCCUUCAUAUAGCUUGUUUCCACCCAAACAUUAGCUUGGCUACCAUGUAAAAGGGGAUAUUCUUGUGCUGUAAGGUGUGGAAAAUGUAAGUACCUGCCAAAUUCUGAGACAAUGAGACACAAAGGCCACUGAGAAUGAAGAGAGAAAAGGAGAGAGAAAUGGAAGAUACGGCAGUUUAUUUUUUUUAGUAAUGAUACUUGCCAAAUCUACCUUAAUGUCUGAGAUUUCUGAUGUUUGUUGGCUUUUUUACUGUCAUCAGGUGAGUGAAUAUGACCUUUAUGCAAAAUAAGCCAAGUACAAUUUUUUUCAAACUAAAAAUAACCUCUUAAUUUUCAACUUGUGUUAAAGAAACCUUUUCCCAGAGUUCUCUGCUGUCUUGCCGUAUAAUUGAAGUGAGGGAAUGAAAAAGUGCCCAAAUACGUCAGUCAUGCCAAAGCCAAGGAAAUCAAGAUUUGGCCUUCUACCUGCAUUUUAUAGAAGAACUGUCACAACUGUCUCCCAAAUAACUUUGAUAGAAGAAAGAAGAAAACUGGACUUCAGUUCAGUUCGUGUUCCUCUCAGGAGAUGUCUUUGCUGACACCGUCCCUGCUCUUCUGCACUCACAGGGAGCACUGGGACUUUGUGUUUCAUGGUGAUUUGCUCCCUUCUAGCCCAGUCUGCAGCCACUUGGGAUUUCUGUCUAAUCAGAAGUUCUACUCAGCUUUACUGAACAAGUGAGAAGCAGAACUGGCACACAAACUCUCCGUAGUCUGUAGUGUAUUAAUGAGUAAAAUUCUCCCAGUUUUAAGCAGAGUUGUGCUAUUUAUCACAGCAAAUAAAGUAAGGAAGAAUUAGUAAAAA